GGGGAUACAACGAUAAUGCGAUGAUCGUGGAAAUAUGAAGAACAUAAGAAGGAAGGGGAAUUUACUUGUUCCGUGUCCCGGAAACUUAAAGCUAUGUACCGGAAAAAGUACAAGAAUACACGGGUCCAGCGGCAUAUUCCGGAAACGCGUUCCGAUGGAGCGUAAAGACCCAAUCAACAUUCACCAUACCCAUUGUUUCAACAGCUGCGAAAACAGACACCAUCAAGAAUACAUUGCAUUUUCUGACUGACACCUGCGUUGUACUAGUUGUACUAGCUACGGACGAAUCUUUUUGAAUCGACUGAAGGAACACUGAUACAAGGAGAACCAAAUCUUUGCUUUUCUCCAGACUGUUGGUACCGCAGCCAGUCAAGCUCUUCUCAGUUGCCCCCAGAACUGCAAAUACAGUAAUCCGCUUUAUUCGCUAGGUACCGUAAAGAAAUUGCAACAUCCAUAGAUCCAGACGCUUCUCAUGACAUUCAACACUGCGACCUGUGACCACAGCAGCGGAUAGAACUACAUUCAGGUCCAUGCAGCAAGUGGAAAAUUCCGGAACAAAGCAAAUAUGGCAAUUAUUGUUAUAGCAUUGUAUUUUUAUUAAUAAUAUAAUAUUUACAACUUUAUAAAAAAAAAUGUAUGAACAAAUAUUUUCGUUCAGAAUACGAUUCAUGUUAUAGACUCUAAAACCAAUGAAAGGACGUUGAAACGAUGGAGUUAUUGUUAUUUUCAUUGAGUUUUCAGUCUAUGGUGGGAAUCGGAUCAGAACGAAAACGGAAUUAAAUAACAUCACUAAUUACUUUUGAGAGAAACACGACAUUCAUCGGGUCUCAAAUAAAACUAAACACAAAUUAUUACAGAUUUCAUAUGUAAACACAAUUCGAAAUAAUGGGCCUACAAUUUGGAUUCUAUUCGUUUCACACGUUAACAUCGUGUGGAUGGCUUAUUGACGGAUGAUGAGAUUCGAAUGAGCGAAAUCGUAAGUUUUACACAUGACAUUGAUUUGCUUUGUCAACAUGCGCAAAUGUAUGUGUCAAACACAAGGCCUUCUCGUGUAUUUUUUUAU